CUAACAGGAUUCCCUCAGUAACGGCGAGUGAAGAGGGAUCAGCUCAAAUUUGUAAUCGGACGUUCGAUGUCGUGACCGUUCCGAGUUGUAAUCUAUAGAAGCGAUCUCCGCGAAGGCCCGCGUACAAGUCUCUUGGAACAGAGCAUCAGAGAGGGUGAGAGUCCCGUCCUUGACGCGGUAGCCGUCGCAUCCGGAGACGCAAUCUACGAGUCGAGUUGUUUGGGAAUGCAGCUCCAAUUGGGUGGUAAACUCCAUCUAAAGCUAAAUACCGGCGAGAGACCGAUAGCGAACAAGUACCGUGAGGGAAAGAUGAAAAGCACUUUGGAAAGAGAGUGAAACAGUACGUGAAAUUGUUGAAAGGGAAACGCUUGUGGUCAGUCGCGUCCGAUCGGAGCGCCUUCGAAGGAGCGAUCCACGGAGGUUUUCAGUUCGGACGGGUCAGCGUCCAUGAUCUUCAAUCCCGAUCCACCCCGAGAGGUCAUGUGGCGCGACGGCGUGUUAUAGACCUCGAGGGAGACGGCAGUAGACAUGGGUCGACGCGUACGCGUCUCAGCUGGCGUAAUGUCCUCAAGCGACCCG
rnacentral:rRNA from 1 species